UACGUAGGUGGCAAGCGUUGUCCGGAUUUACUGGGCGUAAAGAGCGCGCAGGCGGUCGUUCAAGUCGCGUGUGAAAGCCCCCGGCUCAACUGGGGAGGGUCACGCAAUACUGAUCGACUCGAAGGCAGGAGAGGGUAGUGGAAUUCCCGGUGUAGUGGUGAAAUGCGUAGAUAUCGGGAGGAACACCAGUGGCGAAGGCGACUACCUGGCCUGUUUCUUGACGCUGAGGCGCGAAAGCUAGGGGAGCAAACGGG
rnacentral:rRNA from 1 species